GGCCUAAGAGGGUUUUUAUAAAUAAGCAUCAACAAAUUGGUCUUGCGACGGGUAUAGAGAGAUGACCAGUUUACAGAGUAGCAUAGAGAGCAGUGAUGUGUCCUAUAAGGAGCAUUGGUGGCAAAUCUGAUGGCCGAAUGGUAAAGAACAUCUAGCCGCUAGAGAGCACCCUUACCUGCCGAUCUAAAAAUUACGUUACCCUGAUCUAUCAUGGGUAGAAUGGUCAUCUGAAUCAGGGUCAGUUUGGCGGCUGGGGUGAAAGAGGAGCGAUUACGAUAGAGGAAACCAAGUCUAGAUUUAACUUUAGUCUGCAGCUUUGGUAUGUGCUGGGAAAAUGUCUUAAAUGAUUUGACUUGGCUACAUGUAAAUUGACUUGGCUACAUGCAUGUUUUGUUAUUUCUGUUUUAGUUUCCUAUUUUACAAUGGAGGUCAAUAUGAAAACAAAAAUGGUAUUCACCUAUUUGUGUGCGUGGUCGAGGCUGAAUUGUUUUUAUUCUUACGUGGUUCCAAUCGACUGGCGGUACUACGUCUUGAAAUCGCUGUUAAUUCUGGAUAUUGUCGUUUUCUUACAACCAGGAAAUGUAGAUGGUACGUUUCUACAGGUGACGCGAGAUGCGCCUUCUUUUUCCCAACGCAGUUAAACCAAAACCACGCCCCGUUAUUCAGAGGCGUUCUGCAACGCUUUGAGCGUUCUCCAAGUCCGGAAGUGACUUUCGGUCACUGAUUAAUACCAUUUACCCUUGUAUUUCAAGAUUGAAAAAUAUAAUAACAUAAUGUCGUGGGCAGAACUAGCCAUUAACGUCUCUUAACGCUCAAAGACAGAUUCAAUGGCUGUAGCAUAGCGUAUUUCGAUUGAAUGAUUAGCUCAUAAAUAUUUGAGAAAUUAUAAAUAAUAAGCAUAAGACGUAAAGCCAGUUUCAGGUAGGAUAUUCAACGAAUAUUCACCUGUAGUUUUCCUUACGUCCACCAACUGUAUUUGGUGACAUAGUGACAAAUUACAUUUUCACAUUUCAAUAGCUCUUUAACCAUUACUCCUAAAAUGUUCAAACCUGGUUGUAGCUAACCCGAUGGCAUAGACACACAUUGCACACCCUUUAGUUUGUCCAUUUUCAUCUCACAUGAUUUUACAUGUGUUUUUCAAACAUUCUAAUUUCAAUAGCUCCUUGGCUCCUUGGUCAUACUGACUUCAAACAAGAUUCAGAAUGUCCACUGACUACUAUAGUUACUCCAUUGUACUGGAUCUAAUACCUAUUAGUAUUUUACAUAUAUUCACAAGUGUAAUCAUUUUUUAGGACAAUGUGGAAAAACUCUUGGCUCUGUCACUUUCAGACAUGUGCAGAGCAGACUGAAAGGGAAAGGGUAGCUCCUGACUUGAACCACAAGGGUUCUCUAUAAAGAGAGAGUAAUCCAAAAGGCACAGACACACCCCUUGACUUUCAAUUGGCACCGUUGACCUGCAUGUAAUUCUCUCCUGAUUUGUCUUCGUGGUGCUUAGUCAAUGGGAACUCCAUCUGUCCUGAUUGGUCUCCGUGGUGAUUAGUCAAUGGGAACUCCAUCUCUCCUGAUUGGUCUCCGUGGUGAUUAGUCAAUGGGAACUCCAUUGCCGGCCCCAUCAUAAAGGUUUUACACAGUCUGUCAGUUUGACUGACAUGCCAGAGGAAUGAGGAGAGACAUCCUCCUUUGUAUUCAUGGGAACAAAUAUUUCCAAACACUUUGGAUCCUAUUCUUGCACAGUUAGAAGACAAUGUGUCAAUGCAAAAAACAACAACAACAGGGCAAUAGUUUUUAAUCUGAAGCAGCCCUUCUUUACUGUAGUACACUAACCCCUAAUUGGGUCUCUUUUCUUGACACAUAGUAGCAGUUUACCAGAUAAGGAGACGUCAAGAUGAUCAAAAAGUAGAUUGUUGUAAAGGUGUAUUACAUGCUGUGCUGGCCCCAUUGUGAUACCCAUUCUGUAUUCUGACUGGUAAAAUCACAGCUGAAAAAUGCCUCUAUGGAUGUGUAUACUGUUGGUACAUGGAAUAUUCCUCAACUGCAUAAUCAUACAUUGUUAUUGCAAAUAGAAGUAUUAUGUUCAACAACUGAGAUAUUCAGAUAUGAUUUAAAACGAACACACGUUAACGCUUACAAUUCAUUUUCUAUUGUCAUAGACUUGAUGAGCACGGUCAUCUGUGAUCGUUGUGAUGAGACUUUCUUUAAGCACUUACUGAUGAAACUGUCACUUUGAUAUUUUUUUUCUAAAAAGUCUACAAACGCUCUACAUUUAUUCACUAUGUGAGGGUUGGAUCCUAUAUGCUACUUUUAUUAUUGUCCUGUAAAUGGCUCAAUGCCUAUAAUUUAGGCUGUGUGUAGAAUGGGGCAUAAAGGAAAUGACCUCAACUAGAUUAUAGCGAUAAGGAAAUCAGCAUACAGUUUUGGCCUGUGUAUUCAUUAGCCUAUAAAAUAAUCAGACUUCCAUUAUGUUUACAUAAAAAAAGAGAAUACAUCUAAAUGAGAAGAUCCUGCCAUGGAAAAGACGACUGGAUGGACAGGAAGUGGAAAGGAGGGGAAAUAACUCCCACCAUGCAGCAGGACACCUUCAGCUCUUCAGAUGGCCAAGGAAGUAGCACAGAACAUCCCCAACAUCCCCUUCCCAAAUUGAUAUAGAACCUUCACAAAAACACAUGGAGCAACAGUGAAAAGAAAUGGCUGAGGAUACACUAAAAAUGUCUGAGUUCAACAAAGCCAACAACUGCUUCAUGUGUGCCACUGAUAAAGAACCUGGAUGUGGCCCAAAGACUGACUGGACUGAAUGUUUUGCCAACGGUGGUUCCAUGUGCUGUGCCUAGGAAUGAAGACAAGAGUUCAGAGUGAAGAACACAAACUGGAAGUGCAGUCUGUUGUUUAAAAUGUAUGCUAUACCCCAUCCACACUGAAGAGGCUCUGACAUGUACAUCAACCAGGGAUAAAGAGGAGGUUAACACUGAAAUGUUUUGUGCUAAUUUGAAGUUAAGUGUCUGUUGACAUGUUGGAAAAGAUUAAAAGGUCUACAGUUUC
ensembl:lncRNA